GGGUUGGUAGCUCAGUCGGUAGAGCAGCGGACUUUUAAUCCGUUGGUCCCGGGUUCGAAUCCCGGCCAACCCA
rnacentral:tRNA from 4 species